rnacentral:rRNA from 1 species
UACGGUAGGGUGCAAGCGUUAAUCGGAAUUACUGGGCGUAAAGCGUGCGCAGGCGGUGAUGUAAGACAGAUGUGAAAUCCCCGGGCUCAACCUGGGAACUGCAUUUGUGACUGCAUCGCUAGAGUACGGCAGAGGGGGAUGGAAUUCCGCGUGUAGCAGUGAAAUGCGUAGAUAUGCGGAGGAACACCGAUGGCGAAGGCAAUCCCCUGGGCCUGUACUGACGCUCAUGCACGAAAGCGUGGGGAGCAAACAGG